ACCUGAAACAUACUUUUUCGGUGUAUUUGAAGUUUAUAUUAUUUACGUUAAUAAUGCCAAAAGCUGUAGAUAAUAGCAUUAGACAGUUGAUAAUUCAACACUGAAAAAAAGAAAAAAGUGUGGAAAAAAAUAGCCGAGAUGUUUAGAAUAACAAGAGGAACUGUAAUAAACAUUUGCAAGCGAUAUCAACAAACAGAAUCUGUUUCUCCAUCAAAAAAAAAAAAAAAAAAAAUAACAGGAAGACCACGACUGACUAAUCCCGAACAAGAGGAAACUUUGAAAGAACGCAGUACGAACAAUCCUUUUACUUCAGGCAAAGUUUUGAAAGCAGAACUGGAACUACCUGUUUCCCUGGCUACUGU
rnacentral:lncRNA from 1 species